rnacentral:rRNA from 1 species
AGCGAACGCUGGCGGCAGGCCUAACACAUGCAAGUCGAACGAACCUUUCGGGGUUAGUGGCGGACGGGUGAGUAACACGUGGGAACGUGCCUUUAGGUUCGGAAUAACUCAGGGAAACUGGUGCUAAUACCGAAUGUGCUCUUCGGGGGAAAGAUUUAUCGCCUUUAGAGCGGCCCGCGUCUGAUUAGCUAGUUGGUUGAGGUAAUGGCUCACCAAGGCGACGAUCAGUAGCUGGUCUGAGAGGAUGAUCAGCCACAUUGGGACUGAGACACGGCCCAAACUCCUACGGGAGGCAGCAGUGGGGAAUCUUGCGAAAUGGGCGAAAGCCUGACGCAGCCAUGUCGCGUGAAUGAUGAAGGUCUUAGGAUUGUAAAAUUCUUUCACCGGGGACGAUAAUGACGGUACCCGGAGAAGAAGCCCCGGCUAACUUCGUG